GUUGCCCUGAUGGUGGGCUUACACCAUUACCCUCCCUGUUGGACUGACCCAAGCUUCGGCUUGGGUCUUUUU
rnacentral:ncRNA from 1 species